rnacentral:rRNA from 1 species
UACGUAGGGGGCAAGCGUUGUCCGGAAUCAUUGGGCGUAAAGAGCGUGUAGGCGGCUCGGUAAGUCCGCUCUGAAAGCCCGGGGCUCAACCCCGGGAGGCGGGCGGAUACUGUCGGGCUAGAGUCCGGAAGAGGCGAGUGGAAUUCCUGGUGUAGCGGUGAAAUGCGCAGAUAUCGGGAGGAACACCAAUGGCGAAGGCAGCUCGCUGGGACGGUACUGACGCUGAGACGCGAAAGCGUGGGGAGCGAACAGG